AGUGAACGCUGGCGGCGUGCUUAACGCAUGCAAGUCGAACGAGAACGGAAUAUAGCUUGCUAUAUUUGUCAGCUAAGUGGCGCACGGGCGAGUAAUGUAUAGAUAACCUGCCCUUAAGAAAGGAAUAACAGUUGGAAACGACUGCUAAUGCCCUAUAUGCCUUCAAUACAUAAGUAUGCAAGGGAAACGCUUUAGUGCUUAAGGAUGGGUCUGUAUGGUAUCAGCUUGUUGGUGAGGUAAUGGCUCACCAAGGCUAUGACGCCUAACCGGUUUGAGAGGAUGAUCAGUCACACUGGAACUGAGACACGGUCCAGACUCCUACGGGAGGCAGCAGUGGGGAAUAUUGCACAAUGGACGAAAGUCUGAUGCAGCAACGCCGCGUGGAGGAUGACACAUUUCGGUACGUAAACUCCUUUUAUAUAGGAAGAUAAUGACGGUACUAUAUGAGUAAGCACCGGCUAACUCCGUGCCAGCCGCCGCAGUAA
rnacentral:rRNA from 1 species